CAAAUUUGUUCUAGAGGAACCUUAACCCUCCUGAGAAGAUCUCAGGGGGACUCAAAAGUGUGAGAAUCUUAUCUGUUGGCAGGUGCUGUUCCAUCAGAAUGAUUAUGAACUUCAAACCUGAAUAAGGAACUCAAGGAAGGGAUUCCAGGUUGUUCUGCAGAUUCCCAUGAUUUUCCUUGUGCCAAACAGCUUCAGUUUAAGGUGUGCCUAGAUUUUGAAACCACAAGCCCC